GACUCUUGCUGUUAAAAAGGAACCUGGGAAGCCUCUGUCACGCGCACAGCUGUGUAAGGAGAAGGACCUCUCUCUGUUUUCA
ensembl:misc_RNA